UACGUAGGGUGCAAGCGUUGUCCGGAAUUAUUGGGCGUAAAGAGCUCGUAGGCGGUUCGUCGCGUCGGCUGUGAAAACCCGGAGCUCAACUCCGGGCCUGCAGUCGAUACGAGCAAACUAGAGUGUUGCAGGGGAGACUGGAAUUCCUGGUGUAGCGGUGAAAUGCGCAGAUAUCAGGAGGAACACCGGUGGCGAAGGCGGGUCUCUGGGCAACAACUGACGCUGAGGAGCGAAAGCGUGGGGAGCGAACAGG
rnacentral:rRNA from 1 species